UACGAAGGGUGCAAGCGUUACUCGGAAUUACUGGGCGUAAAGGGCGCGUAGGCGGCCUGCUAAGUCGAACGUGAAAUCCCCGGGCUCAACCCGGGAACUGCGUCCGAUACUGACAGGCUUGAAUCCGGGAGAGGGAUGUGGAAUUCCAGGUGUAGCGGUGAAAUGCGUAGAUAUCUGGAGGAACAUCGGUGGCGAAGGCGGCAUCCUGGACCGGUAUUGACGCUGAGGCGCGAAAGCCAGGGGAGCAAACGGG
rnacentral:rRNA from 1 species